GUGUCCGUGUGAGUGUGGGAGAACACAGAGACAAAGGCCUGGCGUGCGCACACACACACACACACACACACACACACACACACAAGGAACCUUUCACUUAUCUUCCCUCACACUCUUACACUCUCGGUCCUUGCUCUUUCAGUCUCUUUGUAGCGUCUACGUGACAACUUUUUUUUUUCUCGUGUGUGUGUGUGUGUGUGUGUGUGUGUGUGUGUGUGUGUGUGUGGUCAUUACAGCUGCUGCCUUGGACCCAAAGGUUCCAGGUUUGAACCCCACCUUCAGCUAUAGUAGCCGUGAGCAAGAUAUUUACACCGAUUUACUCCAGUAAAAUGAUCUUGCGGUAUAAAUGGGUAAAUAAUUAUAGGUAACGUAACCCUGUAUGUUCCUUUGGAGAAAAGCGUAGGUAAAAGUGAAGUAAAUGUGCACCUCUCGGUGUGCGUUCAUGUGCGAGAGCCCUUCCCUGCUGUCAGGUUGUUCACCGGUACCGUACCGCUCUCUGAGUGUCCUGUCCUCCUGGUGACUGAACAGUGUUUCACUGUUACCGCGGUGCUCUCUAGUGUGUGUAGUAAGUGUACAGCGUGUUCCUCCGUGUCUGUUUUUUACCCUGUUAGUGUUCCUCUGACAUAUUUCCCUGCCGCUCUUUUUCUCCCUCAGUGUGUGGCUCUACCACUUUUUUACUCUCUUACCACGUUGCGCGGUCAGUGUUUUACUGUGUUAGCGCGUUCGUCGUCGCUGUGCUGCUGUUGGCACGUUCCUCCGGUAAGAUGUUCCUCUGUAAAUGCUUUACUCUGUUGGCGUGUAACUCCAUCUCCUUCUUACUCUGUUCUACAUGUUCAGUGCUUUGGUUUACUUUGCAAGUGUGUGAUGCGUUGUCCCUCUUUUACUCCGUUAGCCUGUUGCUGUGUGUUGGGAGCACGUCCGCGAGUGCGUGUUGCUCCGUGCGUACAGCUGCGUGCGUUGCCGUCUCUGCCGAAGUGUCGAAACCUCUCGCUGCCUUCGAGUCGAGCCGAGGACACUCUAUCCUCCCCUGCGCUGCCCCCUCGGCCCCCCCAUCUGCCCCUCAC
rnacentral:lncRNA from 1 species